rnacentral:rRNA from 2 species
UGGGGAAUAUUGCACAAUGGGGGAAACCCUGAUGCAGCGACGCAGCGUGCGGGAUGACGGCCUUCGGGUUGUAAACCGCUUUCAGCAGGGAAGAAGCGAAAGUGACGGUACCUGCAGAAGAAGUACCGGCUAACUACGUGCCAGCAGCCGCGGUAAUACGUAGGGUACGAGCGUUGUCCGGAAUUAUUGGGCGUAAAGAGCUCGUAGGUGGUUGGUCACGUCUGCUGUGGAAACGCAACGCUUAACGUUGCGCGUGCAGUGGGUACGGGCUGACUAGAGUGCAGUAGGGGAGUCUGGAAUUCCUGGUGUAGCGGUGAAAUGCGCAGAUAUCAGGAGGAACACCGGUGGCGAAGGCGGGACUCUGGGCUGUAACUGACACUGAGGAGCGAAAGCAUGGGGAGCGAACAGG